UUCUUCGGAACUAGAGACCGGCGCACGGGUGCGUAACGCGUAUGCAAUCUACCUUUUGCAGAGGGAUAGCCCAGAGAAAUUUGGAUUACUACCUCAUAGUAUAUAGAGUUGGCAUCAACACUAUAUUAAAGUCACAACGGCAAAAGAUGAGCAUGCGUCCCAUUAGCUAGUUGGUAAAGUAACGGCUUACCAAGGCUACGAUGGGUAGGGGUCCUGAGAGGGAGAUCCCCCACACUGGUACUGAGACACCGACCAGACUCCUACGGGAGGCAGCAGUGAGGAAUAUUGGACAAUGGGCGCAAGCCUGAUCCAGCCAUGCCGAGUGCAGGAUGACGGUCCUAUGGAUUGUAAACUGCUUUUGCACAGGAAGAAACAACGCUACGUGUAGCGUCUUGACGGUACUGUGAGAAUAAGGAUCGGCUAACUCCGUGCCAACAGCCGCGGUAAUACGGAUGAUCCAAGCGUUAUCCGGAA
rnacentral:rRNA from 1 species